ACCAGCGGCGACAGCACGUUGAAUGUACCAGUUCCUCACGGAUCACACAAGUUAAGUAACGUUGCGCGUGGUUAGUAUCUGGAUGGGUGACCAUCUGGGGAAUCGCAUGCUGCUGGGU
rnacentral:rRNA from 1 species